AUCCACCUCCAUCUUCCCAGGAUUAUCAUCAUCCACCUCCAUCUUCCCAAGAUUAUCAUCAUCCACCACCAUCCCAGGAUUAUCACCGUCCACCAUCUUCCCAAGAUUACCAUCCUCCACCACCUUCCCAAGAUUAUCAUUCUCCACCACCUUCCCAGGAGUACCAUCCUCCACCACCUUCCCAAGAUUAUCAACCUCCUCCACCUUCCCAAGAUUUCCAUCAUCCUCCACCUGCUAGAUCAGACAGUUCUUAUUCUGAGCCCUACAACCACCAGCAAUACUCACCAGAUCAGUCACAGAACUUAGGUCCUAAUUACCCUUCUCAUGAAACUCCCUCUUCUUACUCUCUUCCCCAUUUUCAAUCUUAUCCAAGUUU
rnacentral:lncRNA from 1 species